rnacentral:lncRNA from 1 species
AGUGCUGGAAUUACAGGCGUGAGGCUGGAGGAUCACUUGAGCUCAGGAGUUUGAGACCAGCCUGGGCAACAUGGCGAAAUCCCAUCUCUACUAAAAAUACAAAAAUUAGCCAGGCAUGGUGUUGUGCACCUGUAGUCCCAGCUACUGGGGGCAAUAACCCUACAAAUGACUCUGUAACUCUUAUUAGGGGCAGUAGAAAAUGGUGUA